GUGUUUGUAGCCAGCACUGUCAGCCAGAGGAUUUCAAAACAGAUGGGGCUGUCUCAACUGAUGUCGUUGAAUGUUGAAAGGUGAUGCUAUUCCAUAGACUUUUCCCUUCACUUCAAAGAGGAAGGCAUCAGAGCAGCAGAAAAUAAGUCAAGCUGAGGGUCCAAACAUUGCCCUCCCUAGACUACGGAGGUCCCAACGGGUUGUCAACCUAAAUCCGGAAGAGCGCGCAGGUUCAGUUUCUUAUUCCCCUAGGACAAAGACGGGCAGCACCCUCUGUUGGACUGGUGUUAGUGAACGAGACCAGGCCUACUGAGAAGACACCCCAGUAUAAGCGAAGGAGACGGAACAGGACCAGGGUGUGUCCUCCUCCGCUCUCAUAUGGUAUACCUACAGCACAUUCAAGGCAAGGCAAGGACAGAGAGAGUCCAGCUCACCUGCCGCUCCACAGUCACAGUCAGUGGACACGAAUGGACAUCAACCUACUAUGAGUAACGGCCCAGCUCCAGGCUAACACUGAGCUGCAGCUAGACUGGCAUAUUCAACACCUUAUUCUGUCAGUGGACAACAGAACAACACCUUGAGCGAACUCCCAGUAAUCAGAACUGAAAUAGAGGAUAUAUCUCAAUUUAAAGCAAUGUACAGUUGAAGUGGGAAGUUUACAUACAUUUUAGCCAAAUACAUUUAAACUCAAUUUUUCACCAUUCCUGACAUUUAAUCA